rnacentral:rRNA from 1 species
UACGUAGGGCGCAAGCGUUGUCCGGAAUUAUUGGGCGUAAAGAGCUCGUAGGCGGUCUGUCGCGUCCGUUGUGAAACUCGAGGCUCAACCUCGGGCUUGCAGUGGAUACGGGCAGACUAGAGUGUGGUAGGGGAGACUGGGAUUCCUGGUGUAGCGGUGAAAUGCGCAGAUAUCAGGAGGAACACCGAUGGCGAAGGCAGGUCUCUGGGCCAUAACUGACGCUGAGAAGCGAAAGCAUGGGGAGCGAACAGG